CAUCGCGGCUCGCAUUUAUGCAGACGCAGUUUCGAUGUGUGACAAAUGGCGUACGCGUUGUUUGCACCUUUACGUUGCUGUCGAGUCUGUGGCGAACGUGUGCACUUCUCUCCUUGUAGGACGUCGCGAUCCGUUGAGUGUCGGUCCAAGGCCCGUGGCGUUGACCGUAAGCAUGUUUCGGCGUGUUUACGGACCCAUGGUGUUUCCCGACCGACUCGCUCGACGGUAUUAGAAAGGCGCUAGGCCGCGACUUAGUUCGCGUUCGACCUACGGCAAGCGCGUUAGGUUUAUACUGGUUAUCUCGGACCUAGUGCCGAUUCCGGUUCCUAAUGGCUGUUGGCUGUAGCGUUCUCGAACAGACCUAGUUGAAACGCCGAUCUGCGACGCUAUUGCUUUGGGUACUUUCAGGACCCGUCUUGAAACACGGACCAAGGAGUCUAGCAUGUACGCGAGUCAUUGGGACAUAUCUAAACCCUAAAGGCGUAAUGAAAGUAAAUACUCGUCUUGCGCGAGUCAAGGGAAGAUGGGCGUUACCCGUCUUAAUUGACGGACGCUCCGCACUCCCGGGGCGUCUCAUUCUCAUUGCGAGAGGAGGCGCACCAAGAGCGUACACGCUGGGACCCGAAAGAUGGUGAACUAUGCCUGGUCAGGACGAAGUCAGGGGAAACCCUGAUGGAGGUCCGUAGCGAUUCUGACGUGCAAAUCGAUCGUC
rnacentral:rRNA from 1 species